rnacentral:rRNA from 1 species
GACGAACGCUGGCGGCGUGCUUAACACAUGCAAGUCGAACGAAGAGCGAUGGAAGCUUGCUUCUAUCAAUCUUAGUGGCGAACGGGUGAGUAACGCGUAAUCAACCUGCCCUUCAGAGGGGGACAACAGUUGGAAACGACUGCUAAUACCGCAUACGAUCUAACCUCGGCAUCGAGGAUAGAUGAAAGGUGGCCUCUACAUGUAAGCUAUCACUGAAGGAGGGGAUUGCGUCUGAUUAGCUAGUUGGAGGGGUAACGGCCCACCAAGGCGAUGAUCAGUAGCCGGUCUGAGAGGAUGAACGGCCACAUUGGGACUGAGACACGGCCCAGACUCCUACGGGAGGCAGCAGUGGGGAAUCUUCCGCAAUGGACGAAAGUCUGACGGAGCAACGCCGCGUGAGUGAUGACGGCCUUCGGGUUGUAAAGCUCUGUUAAUCGGGACGAAAGGCCUUCUUGCGAAUAGUAAAAGGAUGA